rnacentral:rRNA from 1 species
UACGUAGGGGGCAAGCGUUGUCCGGAUUUAUUGGGCGUAAAGAGCGUGUAGGCGGCUUUACAGGUCCGUUGUGAAAACUCGAGGCUCAACCUCGAGACGCCGGUGGAAACCGUAAGGCUAGAGUCCGGAAGAGGAGAGUGGAAUUCCCGGUGUAGCGGUGAAAUGCGUAGAUAUCUGGAGGAACACCGGUGGCGAAGGCGGCGUUCUGGACUGCAACUGACACUGAGGAACGAAAGCCAGGGGAGCAAACGGG